UCAUAUCCGUAUACAACAUUUCCAUCAUUUGUGAAAAGUUUCCAAGUUAAGCCAAAGAAAAUGUGUUCGGCAAGAGCGUCAUAAGCGUUUAAAAUUGAAAUGGCGUCCUGCGGUACUGCCGCGCCGUAAUGGCGGUAAAAUGGUACAUGGAGGUGAUUAUUUUCGGUAGCAGAAAUGCAGUCCAAGAGUUCGCAGCCAAACUUGCUCGCGCCGCCAUCUUGUACUGUGUUGUUGUCUGCAAUGUAUUAAGGAUAGGUUCGUGUAAAGUUCAAACACAAUGACUAGCAAUUUGAAUGCCGUAAAGAGAGCUAGGGUCAAAAAGAUCCGGUAUUAAAGAGAGGUACAAUAUGAAGAUCAUGCUCGGUUGCUAAGACAAGUGUUUGGAGAUUUACUACUGUUGAAAAUAUAAAUAUCGAAUAACGCACGCUCGGAAGUCGACAAGAUUAACUUACGUUUUAGUGCCUCACAACUGCUUACCGAAUCGCGAAGACACGAUUUUCAGGAUUUUUGAAAGACUGUCUUCAUAACAUAUUUAGUUAAGGAAUGAACAAUACAGACAAUUUGCUCGCUUUGUUUCGCUCAGUCUUUAGUGGAAUAAGUGUGGCGUGCGGCACUUAUUAAUAAGAGCCCCGACGAAGAAACUAAUAAGAAAUACAUCUAUUGCCGUUAUAGCGUUUAUUACCCACCCUCUUUAGACGUUUAUUCAAAUUGCUGGUUGAAACCCCGUAUUAGUGCAUCAUGACAACCACCAAAGCCUCUGAACUAUUCAACAGUACAAUAAAAUUGACUCCAUUUUAUUGCAAACAUAUUAAAUGAACAUAUAUGCGUCGCCAACUACAAAAAAAGGGAUUUGCAAAUUUCACGUCAAAAGAAAAUUCAUU